GAUGAACGCUAGCUACAGGCUUAACACAUGCAAGUCGAGGGACCGGCGCACGGGUGAGUAACACGUAUCCACCCUGCCCUUUACUCGGGGAUAGCCUUUCGAAAGAAAGAUUAAUACCCGAUGUAAAGGAUGGGGAUGCGUUCCAUUAGGUUGUUGGUGAGGUAACGGCUAACCAAGCCUUCGAUGGAUAGGGGUUCUGAGAGGAAGGCCCCCCACAUCGGAGAUGAGGCACGGUCCAAACUGCGACGGGAGGUAGCAGUGAGGACUAUUGGUCAAUGGGCGUUAGCCUGAACCAGCCAAGUAGCGUGAAGGAUGAAGGCUUAUUGGUCGUAAACUUCUUUUAUAUAAGAAUAUGUAUUAUAUGAAUAAGGAUCGGCUAACUCCGUGCCAGCAGCCGCGGUAAUAC
rnacentral:rRNA from 1 species